ACGAGAUUUUUUCAUUCACCACGAUCCCACUUCUUUUCCGCCACAAACGUGAUUCUGUUCCACUAUCUGCACUUUUAAAUCCCACAACGAAUCCCAACAAUCUUGCUAUCACAUAACCUACUCCAUUCACUUUUCUUGAUUUCAUCAAUGGCGGCCGAUUCAUCAUCUUCCGAUGCCAAAGUCCACAUAAUUUACACCGAACAACAGGGAUGGACGACGGCACUGCUCGGCUACCCGGCGAAUCUCGAACAACAGCAGCGGCGCAGAAGUUAACGAAGUAGAGAACAACAGCGGUGGCUCGGCGUGAGAUCGAGGGGGAGGAACAGCGGCGAAGUCCGGGCGCUCGGCGGGGGCGCUGGGUAGGCUUGAGGCACAGUAAACGGGGGCAGCAACAGCCUGGCAGACAAGGCUACCAAUGUGGAUGCGAGGAAGGAGGGAGCUUCCGAUUUGAAAUUUCCUGAAUUUGAGUUUUAGAGAGGUUGAUCGAUUAGAGAGAGAGAUGGAAGAGAUGAGGUGACAGCAAUGAGAAUUUGGGUUUGAAUUUGGGGAUUGCUCCUGAUUUUGAAAAGGAGGAGACGAGAGAUGUAGAAAUUUAGGAGUGAAGAAGUGAGAACUGACGGAGAAGAUAACCGGCUGAUUUUCCAGCAAGAGGGAGAAGACGGAGGGAGAGCUGGCCAGAAAGAGAUAGAGAGAAUUACCGACGAGGUGGUGAAGCGAGCUUGUCGUCAUGAACGUGGCAGCUGUAACAGAAAUUGAGACGGGAAAGAUGGAGCGUGACGGUGGUCGGUGGGGCUAGACAGCUACGAGCACCGAUGGAAGAGCAACAAAGUGAGGAAGGGGAAGAGAGAGAGUUUGCUGUCAAAGUUGAGAGAAAUAGAGGGAGAAAAAGAGUUUCAGAUGUUGCAAACUAGCGCGAGAGAAAAGAGGGAAAUUGGAGUUCAUUUAGGGGAUUUUAAUUUCUGGGAACAAUACAGAGAGAGGGGGAUUGAUUAGAAUGGAGGAAAGGAAGUGGUUUCCUUUGUUUGUUUGGGUCAACUUUUACUAGAAAUUGGGUCUAGUGAAAUAGUUGGGCUAAAGGAUUUCAAAUCUGUACGUGUAUUAAUUUAAUUGGGCAAGCUGGAUAUGUGAUGUGGGCUAAAUUUAUGAGUAACACGCGAGAAUUUCCAAAUUUCUCAAGAAAGAUCGAAGGGGGAUCAUUUUUUUGACAUGCUAUUUGAGAACGGAAUGGAAAGACAAGUAGAGGAGUUAAACGAUUGAGGUUGAGUUGUGACGAGCGCGGUGGGUGUUGAGCAGAGCUGGUGAAGAUUUGUGUUUGGUUUAAAUGUUCCGAAUAUAUUGUGUCUUCAUACAUAAUAUUAUUCUUCUCUCGAAUGCUUACGCUAAAUGUUGUUUCUUUUGAGUUUAUGUAUUGUUGAGAUAUAAUCCCUUUGAGUUCUCAAUUGUUGAGAUGAUACUCUGAUUUUUAUUCAAGCUAUUCCCGUUUGUUUCGAGCUAUGGUCGAGUUCUGUUGUUUCCCCCUUUCUUCGAGAUCAACCGUGUUUUCUAUCCUUAGAAAAUGCGGGCGUGACAUUACCAUCGGUAGACCUAUAAUAUAUUCAUUCGUGUGAAUUACCUUGUCAAUAACAUUUGGAGCUGGACUAGGACCAAAGAAAUCGCCCGGCUUCAACUCGAUUAUUGAUUUUGUUUGGAUUUUGGUCUUGCUCUGGAAAUUCAUUUGAAACUUCAUUCUAUGUAUGAUUUUCAACAUUAGAACACUCGCCUAAUAACUCAAUAUUUUUUGCUCAUCUAGUUGACCAUAAGCUAGAAGAACUAAAUGUUGUUUCUUUUGAGUUUAUGUAUUGUUGAGAUAUAAUCCCUUUGAGUUCUCAAUUGUUGAGAUGAUACUCUGAUUUUUAUUCAA